UUUGUGUCUAAGAAAGUGUGGGGUGCAGGUGAAGCCCGGACAAAAAACAGGGUUAGUGAUUAAGUGUGUGAAGUGAUUAAGGCCUGGUUCACACGGGACGAUUUUAAAAUUGUCAGCCGAUUUUCCAAACCUGAGAGACCCCACACACGGCGAUAAAAAAUCACGGGUCUAACAGUUUUGGUCGUACAGUGUGUGGUGUGCAGCCACACGGCAAAAUCAACACAUCACACAUGAACCGAUUUGACUCCCGAGCAUUCCCAUGUCAGACGGGAAAUCUCGCAAAAUCCCUCGAGAUCAAACGUGACUUCAGAGUAAACAAUCAUGGCGGACGAAGAGGAUGCAGUGGCCAUAGUUUGUGCUUUGUUUUUAACUGAAAAAAAACAUAAGAAAAACAAGAAAAGGCGAUGGUCAAAGAGGUGGAGACAACGCGAGCAUGGACUAUACUUGCUACAUCAUGAUAUGGAGGUUUCUGACAGAGAAGGGGUCAAGGAGCUACUUCGUAUGAGUGUGGAGGAGCUUGAGUUUGUCCUCAAUAAAGUAGCCCCGUUGAUCACAAAGCAGGAUACAAACAUGAGACUGUCCAUUUCUGCGAAGGAGAGACUGGUGUUAACACUAUGAUUUUUGGCAACAGGAGAGUCCUUUACAUCCUUAAACUUCCAGUUUAGAGUUGGAAAGUCAACCAUCUCCCAGAUUGUCACUGAAACAUGUGAAGCCCUGUACCGAGCACUUGCUAAGGAUUAUCUCAAGGUAAUGUCUAAAGUACAUUACAUUACUAAUGAAAUGUUUGUUGUAGUUUUUUAAAUACACACACCUAUUUAGAUGGGUAACGUUACUGUAGAUAAACAUUACCUGGUAUUUCAAGUGCAGCAGCAAUUUCUGCCCAGUUCCUCUCCUUGUCAUUUUGGUUAUGAUAUUCUUUACACCAAACGUUGUACAAACAUUCACGGUGUUGCCACAGGUCGACGAGUUGGUCCUCCAUCUCCGACGUCCACCGGACUUUCUGGUGCGCCAUGCCGCCGGCUGUUUUGAUUUUGUUUCCCGGUACUUCCUCACCGCCUCGUCACCUCGCUUUCUGAUUGGCUACACGCCACAGUCCACAGGCUGCGUGAUCGUUUGUCCUCGGGGGACACCACACACGAGAAGAAAUCGGGCCAAAUAAAUCCAACAGGUUGGAUAUCCCCGAUUUGAGA
ensembl:lncRNA